ensembl:lncRNA
CAAUUUAACAUGAUUUUUUUGUUGUUUUGUUCUUUGUUCUCAUUUCUUCCACAGGCUCGGCUUCAGCGCACGCCCUCCAGCACAUCAGAGGAUUCCAUAAAGCUCCAGAGCAGCAGUUCCAUAGAGCGAGAGAUCUGGGAGGGCGACUUAUCUUCCAGCCCCAGGAAGAACUCUCUGUCCAGGAUGGACUCCAAACAGAAGGGCCGCAGCUUCUUCUCCCUGGGCGGCAAAACACAGAGCUUAGAAGGCCAAAACCAGAUCCCCACACGACUGCUUCAGCUGGCUUCAUCCAAGGAGAAGAAGGACAAAAAGAAGAAGAAGAGCAAGAGCCAGCCUCCUCAGGAUGCAGCAUCACAUCUGCUGCCCCUGACAGAGCCUUCAAUGGACGGAGAUAUAUUCUUCUGCUGAUUUACCCAUCAUCCCUUCUGUCCACAUCAUUGCCUCUCAUGGACUCUCUAUCAAAUCAUGUAGGAAGUCACCCAAAGUGCCCUCUACACAUUUCAGCAAUCUUUCUACAAUAUAAUAAAUCUCACAAAACAUGUCCAGGUCGCAUUACACCACAAAAUCAAAAGAAAAUUAAGAAAUCAUAUUUUGCCUAACCCAAAUCAGUCCUAUUUUAGGAUUGUUUUUAUUUUUUGUGACAUUAUUUUAAUAACAAUUUAGCCCCAAAAUUCUCAUUACCGUAAUGUAUAAAUAGUGGUAAUAUAUGAUUUCAAUUGUAAAGUAUUUAUAUACUACGGUAAAUGUUUUUGUAUUGCUUUUAAAUAUUGUUUUAUUACAGUAGUUUGUGCUGUAAUAAAGUUUGCUCUAUCACAGUAAUGAAAAUCACCAUUUAGAAUAAUAAUAAUUAUUAAUUAUUAUUCCAAAAAAGCUCAUGAUGCAAAAAUGGUAAUGGAAAUCUCAUUUAUAUAUAUAUAACUCAUCCAGACAGCAUAUAUGCGCUACACUUUAAAGUCUUAAGGUGCGUCCCAAAUCGCGUACUUAUGCACUAUUCUAUGACUAUUUGUAGUAUAAAUAGUGUGAGUAGUGUGUUCACACCAAAAAUUCCAAAAAGUAAAAAGUGCACUUUAAAUAUCCGGAUGAUGCACUUAAAUAAUCGAAAAAACGAAGUGUGGAAUGUUGAACACUUCAUGCACUCAACUGUCGCAGCUUUAAUUACGUAGUGAAGGGGGAGGGGCUAUCAAACUCCGUUAAUGAAUGACAAAAUAACCUUAUAUAAUUCAUACACUACAUGGUUGAGUACAUAGUGCGUAAGUACAUAGUGUAGUAGUGUAUAGUGCGUCAUUUGGGACGCAGCUUUAGAUUUGCACUUGCUUUUACAUGUUUAUCAGACAAAUCCCAUCUUUAAAUACAUUGUUAAAAUGUACAUUGUAUAUAAAUUUCAAUUACUGCACUCAUUUACAAAUGAAUUGUGCCACCAAAACAUUUUAAAAAGCAUAAAUGGGGUUUGCUGCUCCCCAUAUUGGCCAACUUUUUUAGGCUGAAAAAUCAUUUCGGCUCAUUGCACACAAGAAUGACCAUUUAAAAUUGAAUCACAGUUUUAACAUUUAAAGGGAUUCGGGGAGAGAGGUGGUUUUCCAUAUUCCCCAUGUUUUCUAUUUUAGCUUCUCGAAGGAGUCCCGUCUUUGAAAUGCCACCGAGCACUUUAACACCAUUCAUACGUUACCCUUGCCCCGAAAAUGACAAUCAAUUUUUCAAUAGCAUUCCAAAGAUAAAGCCCUAGGGACAGGGCUUUUGGGGGCCAUUGUUUAACAUACCAUGGCAUUUCAUGCUAGUUUGAGAUUCUCUAAUCCUUCUGCGUUGAAUACUUCAUGACUUUAGCAGGACGGAUGAGCUGUAAAUACUGUAUGAACUGUAGACCCCUGAGGGAUAUUUAAAGCAACCUGCUGGACAGGUAAAAGAGAUAAACAUCCACGAAAGAUAGUGUACCUCACCUAUACAUCCACCCUUAUGGAUCAAAGCACCAUAUCAUAUCUGAAUAUCAGUAAUAAUACAUUUAACACUGUUUUGGCGCUCAGAGUGUCCACUUAUUUCAUCAUGCAUGAAUAUCCACAUUACAGUCCUGCAGGAUUUUGUUCUGUUGGCCUGAUUUUGUUAGGAGUUAUUUAUUGGUCCAUGAGAUUUUUUAUUUAAUUUUUUUAAAGCAGUACAUGCUCUUAAAGUCCCAUUUGUGUAGGUUUGCGUUGCAGUUUUCACCUGCGCUGACUUGAUUCCACCAUGAGGGGGCAGAAGAGAAGCGUUUUAUAAUUGAAGGCUCCUCUGUGGAUUUACAUAAUCUCUCAGUGAUGUCAGAGGAGACACAGUGACACAUGCACAAAGGGAAUCAUUGGUUCAUCAUUUAAGGAGAACUGUGCCUAUGGCCUUACAGAACUGUCAGUGACACUUUUGUCCUCAGGAACAAACAGGGAAAACUCAAUCCAGGCGGUAUAGUGUUGCCGUGUCUCAUGCGUAAACGAAAACUGAAGUUGCUCAGCCUUAAAGAAAUCAUGGUGUGUGCUAAAAUAUAAUCCAGCAUUCUCUCAGGAGUAUAGGUUUGUUUGUUCAUCUGUGUUUUGAAAGUAAGGUAUCAUUUGUACAUUGAGGUACAUACGUUCUCUUGCUUUAAAAAAAAAAAGGAAGAACUAAUGUUAUGUAAAUAUUUUGUGUUUAAUAUGUUUAAAUGUAAAAUUUUGUUUCAUUUGUGAUUUAUUUUGUAAGAUGUGUUUUGUGAGAUGUAAGGCUUUAUUUAUCAUUGAUUCCCUUGUCUUGAAGCAGAAGACAAUAUUUCCUCACAUUAAAAGCUAUUGCAAUU